GACGAACGCUGGCGGCGUGCUUAACACAUGCAAGUCGAACGGAAAGGCCCUGCUUUUGUGGGUGCUCGAGUGGCGAACGGGUGAGUAACACGUGAGUAACCUGCCCUUGACUUUGGGAUAACUUCAGGAAACUGGGGCUAAUACCGGAUAGGAGCUCCUGCUGCAUGGUGGGGGUUGGAAAGUUUCGGCGGUUGGGGAUGGACUCGCGGCUUAUCAGCUUGUUGGUGGGGUAGUGGCUUACCAAGGCUUUGACGGGUAGCCGGCCUGAGAGGGUGACCGGCCACAUGGGGACUGAGAUACGGCCCAGACUCCUACGGGAGGAAGCAGUGGGGAAUAUUGCACAAUGGGCGGAAGCCUGAUGCAGCAACGCCGCGUGCGGGAUGACGGCCUUCGGGUUGUAAACCGCUUUCGCCUGUGACGAAGCGUGAGUGACGGUAAUGGGUAAAGAAGCACCGGCUAACUACGUG
rnacentral:rRNA from 1 species